UACAGAGGGUGCGAGCGUUAAUCGGAAUUACUGGGCGUAAAGCGUGCGUAGACGGUAGCGUAAGUCAGAUGUGAAAGCCCCGGGCUUAACCUGGGAAUUGCUUUUAAGACUGUCGGGCUAGAAUCCAGAAGAGGGUAGUGGAAUUCCGAGUGUAGAGGUGAAAUUCGUAGAUAUUCGGAAGAACACCAGUGGCGAAGGCGACUACCUGGUCUGGCAUUGACGCUCAUGUGCGAAAGCGUGGGGAGCAAACAGG
rnacentral:rRNA from 1 species